rnacentral:rRNA from 1 species
AGGUUAAGCAGUAAAUGUGGAGCCGUAGCGAAAGCGAGUCUGAAUAGGGCGUUUAGUAUUUGGUCGUAGACCCGAAACCAGGUGAUCUACCCUUGGUCAGGUUGAAGUUCAGGUAACACUGAAUGGAGGACCGAACCGACUUACGUUGAAAAGUGAGCGGAUGAACUGAGGGUAGCGGAGAAAUUCCAAUCGAACCUGGAGAUAGCUGGUUCUCUCCGAAAUAGCUUUAGGGCUAGCCUCAAGUGAUGAUUAUUGGAGGUAGAGCACUGUUUGGACGAGGGGCCCCUCUCGGGUUACCGAAUUCAGACAAACUCCGAAUGCCAAUUAAUUUAACUUGGGAGUCAGAACAUGGGUGAUAAGGUCCGUGUUCGAAAGGGAAACAGCCCAGACCACCAGCUAAGGUCCCAAAAUAUAUGUUAAGUGGAAAAGGAUGUGGCGUUGCCCAGACAACUAGGAUGUUGGCUUAGAAGCAGCCAUCAUUUAAAGAGUGCGUAAUAGCUCACUAGUCGAGUGACACUGCGCCGAAAAUGUACCGGGGCUAAACAUAUUACCGAAGCUGUGGAUUGUCCUUUGGACAAUGGUAGGAGAGCGUUCUAAGGGCGUUGAAGCAUGAUCGUAAGGACAUGUGGAGCGCUUAGAAGUGAGAAUGCCGGUGUGAGUAGCGAAAGACGGGUGAGAAUCCCGUCCACCGAUUGACUAAGGUUUCCAGAGGAAGGCUCGUCCGCUCUGGGUUAGUCGGGUCCUAAGCUGAGGCCGACAGGCGUAGGCGAUGGAUAACAGGUUGAUAUUCCUGUACCACCUAUAAUCGUUUUAAUCGAUGGGGGGACGCAGUAGGAUAGGCGAAGCGUGCGAUUGGAUUGCACGUCUAAGCAGUAAGGCUGAGUAUUAGGCAAAUCCGGUACUCGUUAAGGCUGAGCUGUGAUGGGGAGAAGACAUUGUGUCUUCGAGUCGUUGAUUUCACACUGCCGAGAAAAGCCUCUAGAUAGAAAAUAGGUGCCCGUACCGCAAACCGACACAGGUAGUCAAGAUGAGAAUUCUAAGGUGAGCGAGCGAACUCUCGUUAAGGAACUCGGCAAAAUGACCCCGUAACUUCGGGAGAAGGGGUGCUCUUUAGGGUUAACGCCCAGAAGAGCCGCAGUGAAUAGGCCCAAGCGACUGUUUAUCAAAAACACAGGUCUCUGCUAAACCGUAAGGUGAUGUAUAGGGGCUGACGCCUGCCCGGUGCUGGAAGGUUAAGAGGAGUGGUUAGCUUCUGCGAAGCUACGAAUCGAAGCCCCAGUAAACGGCGGCCGUAACUAUAACGGUCCUAAGGUAGCGAAAUUCCUUGUCGGGUAAGUUCCGACCCGCACGAAAGGCGUAACGAUUUGGGCACUGUCUCAACGAGAGACUCGGUGAAAUCAUAGUACCUGUGAAGAUGCAGGUUACCCGCGACAGGACGGAAAGACCCCGUGGAGCUUUACUGUAGCCUGAUAUUGAAAUUCGGCACAGCUUGUACAGGAUAGGUAGGAGCCUUUGAAACGUGAGCGCUAGCUUACGUGGAGGCGCUGGUGGGAUACUACCCUAGCUGUGUUGGCUUUCUAACCCGCACCACUUAUCGUGGUGGGAGACAGUGUCAGGCGGGCAGUUUGACUGGGGCGGUCGCCUCCUAAAAGGUAACGGAGGCGCUCAAAGGUUCCCUCAGAAUGGUUGGAAAUCAUUCAUAGAGUGUAAAGGCAUAAGGGAGCUUGACUGCGAGACCUACAAGUCGAGCAGGGUCGAAAGACGGACUUAGUGAUCCGGUGGUUCCGCAUGGAAGGGCCAUCGCUCAACGGAUAAAAGCUACCCCGGGGAUAACAGGCUUAUCUCCCCCAAGAGUUCACAUCGACGGGGAGGUUUGGCACCUCGAUGUCGGCUCAUCGCAUCCUGGGGCUGUAGUCGGUCCCAAGGGUUGGGCUGUUCGCCCAUUAAAGCGGUACGCGAGCUGGGUUCAGAACGUCGUGAGACAGUUCGGUCCCUAUCCGUCGUGGGCGUAGGAAAUUUGAGAGGAGCUGUCCUUAGUACGAGAGGACCGGGAUGGACAUACCUCUGGUGUACCAGUUGUCGUGCCAACGGCAUAGCUGGGUAGCUAUGUGUGGACGGGAUAAGUGCUGAAAGCAUCUAAGCAUGAAGCCCCCCUCAAGAUGAGAUUUCCCAACUUCGGUUAUAAGAUCCCUCAAAGAUGAUGAGGUUAAUAGGUUCGAGGUGGAAGCAUGGUGACAUGUGGAGCUGACGAAUACUAAUCGAUCGA